rnacentral:ncRNA from 1 species
UAUAUGGAGAGUUUGAUCCUGGCUCAGGACGAACGCUGGCGGCGUGCCUAAUACAUGCAAGUCGAGCGGACAGAUGGGAGCUUGCUCCCUGAAGUCAGCGGCGGACGGGUGAGUAACACGUGGGCAACCUGCCUGUAAGACUGGGAUAACUCCGGGAAACCGGGGCUAAUACCGGAUAAUUCUUUCCCUCACAUGAGGGAAAGCUGAAAGAUGGUUUCGGCUAUCACUUACAGAUGGGCCCGCGGCGCAUUAGCUAGUUGGUGAGGUAACGGCUCACCAAGGCAACGAUGCGUAGCCGACCUGAGAGGGUGAUC